AACCAACGCUGGCGGCGUGCCUAAUACAUGCAAGUCGAACGGGGAAAGCUUUCGGGUGAGUUCUAGUGGCGCACGGGUGAGGAACGCGUGGAUAAUCUGCCUUAGAGUGGGGGAUAACUAGUCGAAAGAUUAGCUAAUACCGCAUAAGACCACGAGAGCUGCGGCUUUUGAGGUCAAAGGUUUUUCGCUCUAAGAUGAGUCCGCGUAAGAUUAGCUAGUUGGUGAGGUAACGGCUCACCAAGGCGACGAUCUUUAACUGGUCUGAGAGGAUGAUCAGUCACACUGGAACUGAGACACGGUCCAGACUCCUACGGGAGGCAGCAGUAGGGAAUAUUGCACAAUGGAGGAAACUCUGAUGCAGCGACGCCGCGUGAGUGAUGAAGGCCUUCGGGUCGUAAAGCUCUGUCGCAGGGGAAUAACACAAUGAAGGUACCCUGUAAGAAAGGAUCGGCUAACUUCGUG
rnacentral:rRNA from 1 species